CAGUAGCCACGGUAAUACGGAGGGGGCAAGCGUUAUCCGGAAUUAUUGGGCGUAAAGGGUACGUAGGUGGCCUUUUAAGCGUAGGGUAUAAGGCAAUGGCUCAACCAUUGUUCGCCCUAUGAACUGGAAGGCUUGAGUGCAGGAGAGGAAAGCGGAAUUCCUAGUGUAGCGGUGGAAUGCAUAGAUAUUAGGAGGAACAUCAGCGGCGAAGGCGGCUUUCUGGACUGCAACUGACACUGAGGUACGAAAGCGUGGGGAGCAAACAGGAUUAGAUACCCCGGUAGUCCCUGUCUCUUAUACC
rnacentral:rRNA from 1 species